rnacentral:lncRNA from 1 species
AUAAAAGAAGGUAUAUAAGAUGAAACGAUAUAUAUAUAUAUAUAGCUAGAAUGAGAUGUAUAAGGGCGAUUAGGAUGUUGACACGUAGGUCAUGCAGCAGUGAUUAGUGGGGCGGUGUUAAUUAGACCUGAGCGCCAUAUAUGGUCCAAUUUAGGAUCUUGGAUGCUAUACUAUGAAAGCUCCUCUGUCUAUCUCUCUUUGUAGGGACACUUCUAC